rnacentral:rRNA from 1 species
AUUGAACGCUGGCGGCAGGCCUAACACAUGCAAGUCGCACGAGUGGCGGACGGGUGAGUCAUGUCUGGGAAACUUCCUGAUGGAGGGGGAUAACUACUGGAAACGGUAGCUAAUACCGCAUACCAUCAGAUGUGCCCAGAUGGGAUUAGCUUGUUGGGUGGGUAACGGCUCACCAAGGCGACGAUACCUAGCUGGUCUGAGAGGAUGACCAGCCACACUGGGUCUGAGACACGGGCCAGGUUCAUAAGGCAGGCAGCAGUGGGGAAUAUUGCACAAUGGGCGCAAGCCUGAGAAAGCCAUGCAGCGCGUAUGAAGAAGGCCUUCGGGUUGUAAAGGUCUGUCAGCGAAGAAGCGUUAGCCGCAGAAGAUGCACCGUCUAAAUCCGGGCCAGCAGCCGCGGUAAUUC